rnacentral:rRNA from 1 species
GACGAACGCUGGCGGCGUGCUUAACACAUGCAAGUCGAACGGUAAGGCCCUUCGGGGUACACGAGUGGCGAACGGGUGAGUAACACGUGGGUGAUCUGCCCUGCACUUCGGGAUAAGCCUGGGACACUGGGUCUAAUACCGGAUAGGACCACUGCCUGCAUGGGUGGUUGUGGAAAGCUUUUGCGGUGUGGGAUGGGCCCGCGGCCUAUCAGCUUGUUGGUGGGGUGAUGGCCUACCAAGGCGACGACGGGUAGCCGGCCUGAGAGGGUGACCGGCCACACUGGGACUGAGAUACGGCCCAGACUCCUACGGGAGGCAGCAGUGGGGAAUAUUGCACAAUGGGCGCAAGCCUGAUGCAGCGACGCCGCGUGAGGGAUGACGGCCUUCGGGUUGUAAACCUCUUUCAGCACCGACGAAGCGCAAGUGACGGUAGGUGCAGAAGAAGGACCGGCCAACUACGUGCCAGCAGCCGCAGUAA